rnacentral:lncRNA from 1 species
UUCCUAACAUGACUGUGGGGGCACACAAGGGCCGUUGUAAGGACCUCUCCCUCCAUCCGAUCUCUAAAUAAUCGGGCCUUCGACCUUGCUCAUGUUAGGACGAGGUUCUCCUCCUAUUUCUAACAUGGCUGUGGGGGCACAUAAGGGCUCUUGCAAUGGCCAAUUCUGAUGGUGCAGAAUUUUGUCGACAUUGGAGAAGCUGGAGUCGAGGGGAUCGCAUCCAUCAUCGAGACC